AAACCAUCAAGCCCAGCUUGGUCUUGGACGCGGUCGAGUGACCCGUCCGCAACCCGUUGGCGGUGCAGUCCGGCUUCAAGCGUAGCAAAAAUUUCGCUUCAGGAGUCCGCGGCGGCGCCCGCCAGGCAAUCGCAUCCCAAA
rnacentral:misc_RNA from 1 species